GUUUAAAAAUCUCUUGGAGUAAGCCCGUAGAAAUGGGCUGAAACAGCCCAGAUUACAAUGGCAGUAUGCCCUCGGCCCAUUCCAGAUCCGUGACACCACGCCCAACUUGCCAUGGAGCUGCCGUCGUCCCCCUCCGCUUCGGUUCCGGCCUCCGCCGGCGAGCGAUGGCCGCCACUGGAGUCUACCCCCGAAGUUUUCAAUCAGUUCAUGUGGUCGCUAGGCGUCCCCGAGGACGACAUGGAGUUCCAUGAUGUGUACGGACUCGACGACGACGCGUUGGAUAUGGUUCCCCAGCCUGUGCUCGCCGUUGUUCUCUGCUUCCCCGAUCCACCACAGGAUGCAAGUUACCCUUCAGAACAACUCUUAUUUUCUGGAGAAAAGGAAACACAGGACCAGGUUUACUUUAUAAAACAGAUCAAAUCAUUGGGAAAUGCUUGUGGAACUAUUGCUCUACUCCAUGCUGUUGGAAAUGCAUCUUCAGAAGUCAAUUUAGUGGAGAAUUCAUGCUUGGACUUGUUCUUCAAAUCAACUGCUAGCAUGGACCCAAAUGAGGUUCUUGGUUGUUUUCUCAAAAUGCAUGCUCAUUACCAGGAUACCUUAUUCAGUCUUGCAUUUUCCCCCUUAUGUGGUUACGCCUCAUGCCAUGUUUUCCAGCGUGCUGUGUUUCUGGAGAAGGAUGAUGCCAUGGCAAGGGCUCACUCACUGGCUGCCAAUGCUGGUGUCACAGAGCUUAGUGAUAUUGUAGAAGAGCACUAUAUUUGUUUUGUGUCUGUCAAUGGAACACUUUAUGAGCUUGAUGGGAUGAAGGAUGGACCUAUAAAGCACAGAUCCUGUUCUUCUAUAAGUUUGCUGCAGGAUGUUGUUCCUGUCAUUAAGGCCAUCAUGUGCAAUAUCCCCAACUCAAUCAACUUCAAUCUUAUGGUGCUGUCAAGGAAAGAAAAGUAAUGCUUGUGCUAUUCCUUAAGCCGGUAAUUGAUGGAAUGCAAAAAGCAAGGGUUCAAGGGAAGGGGAUUAAACGGAUGCAUGCCUGUUUGGACUUUGGACUGAGCUGCGAUACUGUUUUAUGCUCCCCAUUCUCCAUGCACCCUCUUAAAGAGCUCCCCAGGGCUUGAAGUGAUGCACCAUGACGACGUCGCCUGGACGGCUAUCCCUGCCAGCUCCGUAGCCCUCCACGUCCACGUUGGAGACAACCUGGAAGUUCUGAACAAUGGUCAGCUCAAGUCUCUCGUCCAUCGGGCCAUUCUCAAUCCUGACGAGGCGAGGAUUUCCAUCGCCAGCAUUGGCCUCUCCAUGGAUGAAAAGGUGUAGUGCGCCGAGGAGCUGAUUAGCGAGCAGCGACCCCCGAGAUGUAUAGGGGAAGCAGCUUCCAUGACUUCCUGCUGUCCAACACCAACAGUUACAAGAGGUUUGUUGAGAGCCUCAGGAUCGGCGGAGAUGAAUAACUGUAAGUGAAGGUGGAUCAUCAGCUGCACCAGAACGCAUGCAGCUAAUUAAAUUGCAUUCUUAGUUGGAGGAAAAUAGUGCAGGGUUAUCUCUAAGGCGUUUUUUGGGUGUCAUUCAGUUGGAUUAUUAGAUGUCCACGAGUGAUCUUUAUAUGGUAGAACCCACUACCAUACGCAGAUCAUAAUGUAUCAAUUAUCACGUGCAGUUGCUUCAGAUAGGCGCUGCAAAUGUAAAAUCUCCUCUCGUCGUUGAUGCCAAGUUAGGGAGGAUCAUAUAUACAUAUUUAACUUGUAUCUACUAGUACCUGAGUGAGUACACAUACGGGUAAAUAAAUAAUGAGAAAGUGAAAUGAGUAUCUUCCAUCACUGCAUAAUGCUUGCAUUGUCACACUACCUGUAUUUUCUAGUACAACCAAAUUCAU